rnacentral:rRNA from 1 species
CCUACGGGAGGCAGCAGUAGGGAAUCUUGCACAAUGGAGGAAACUCUGAUGCAGCGACGCCGCGUGAGUGAUGAAGGCUUUCGGGUUGUAAAGCUCUGUUCUCAGGGAAAAAUAAAUUGAUUGUACCUGAGGAGAAAGGACCGGCUAACUUCGUGCCAGCAGCCGCGGUAAU